rnacentral:rRNA from 1 species
CCUCGCCAUGGUCGGAAUCCCUAUAAGAGGUGGGGAGUGCUUGAAAAGAGAACCGGCUCAUCCAGUCCUGCAUGGCUGUCGUCAGCUCGUGUCGUGAGAUGUUGGUUAAGUCCCCGCAACGAGCGCAACCCUUGUCCUUAGUUGCUACGCAAGAGCACUCUAAGGAGACUGCCGGUGACAAACCGGAGGAAGGUGGGGAUGACGUCAAGUCCUCAUGGCCCUUAUGGGUAGGGCUUCACACGUCAUACAAUGGUCGGAACAGAGGGUUGCCAACCCGCGAGGGGGAGCUAAUCCCAGAAAACCGAUCGUAGUCCGGAUUGCACUCUGCAACUCGAGUGCAUGAAGCUGGAAUCGCUAGUAAUCGCGGAUCAGCAUGCCGCGG